GCCAGGGUGGUGUAAUGGGUAGCGCGCCUGCCUAGUGUGCAAGACACCUGGGUUCGAACCCCGGCCUUGGCA